ACGGAAGGUAGCAGUGGGGAAUAUUGGACAAUGGGGGCAACCCUGAUCCAGCGACGCCGCGUGAGUGAAGAAGUAUUUCGGUAUGUAAAGCUCUAUCAGCAGGGAAGAAAAUGACGGUACCUGACUAAGAAGCCCCGGCUAACUACGUGCCAGCAGCCGCGGUAAUACGUAGGGGGCAAGCGUUAUCCGGAUUUACUGGGUGUAAAGGGAGCGUAGACGGCGAUGCAAGUCUGAAGUGAAAGCCCGUGGCUUAACUGCGGAACUGCUUUGGAAACUGUAUUGCUAGAGUGUCGGAGAGGUGAGUGGAAUUCCCAGUGUAGCGGUGAAAUGCGUAGAUAUUGGGAGGAACACCGGCGGCGAAGGCGGCUCACUGGACGAUAACUGACGUUGAGGCUCGAAAGCGUGGGGAGCAAACAGGAUUAGAUACCCUGGUA
rnacentral:rRNA from 1 species